UAACAGGUUCGUUUUGAUCCGGUGGUCCACACACCAAAUUCACAGUAAGGAGGCACACCAACAGGUUCAUGACGGCACAAUAAGAAGAUGCAGGUGGAGCGCCCUCACAGGUCAGGAGGGAGAUCUAACACCAAGAAUCAUUCGACCUCUGUCACACCGAUUCAUGCAGCAGAUGUGGAGAGGGGCUUUAGGGCUCGAAAUGUGCUGAAGACAGCCCUCAGAAACAGACUAGCAAGUGACAGACUGAAUACCCUCCUUGUCAUGAGGGCUGAGGGACCUCGCUGGAAGGAGUUUGAGUAUGGGAAGGCCUUGGAGAAGUUCAGAAGCAAAAAGAAAAGGAAGAUCUUCUGCACAACAGCUGCAAAAAAGUGACAUGUCACUUUUCUAGAGACACCUUAUAUCUACCAGGUUUCUAUUUUAUUUACUUUUCUUUUUUUUUUACAUAAUUUCAAUAUAACCAAUAUCAUUUCUAACUGACUGUACUAAAUGAACAUGACUUUGGUUUUACAGUUUUAGUUUUUGUUUGUUUGGAUAUGUUUGUAGAUAUGUUGGGAUGUUAACAAACAAAAAUAAGAAAUGGUGGUUGGUUCUGAAUUAUCAAACAUGUUGACCCCCUCACUGAAGAAAAUGUCCCCCUAAAAUUUUGGGAGGGGGCCACAUUGACCCUUAAUCUGAGCAAACCUUGAAUGUGAAACUUGUGCCAUAUAUGUGAUUAGAUUAUAGAGCAUUUAUGUUUUUAAUUUUGUUAAGUUUUCGUCAAUCUAAGAUGGCCGACAUUGACCAAACAAAAUCCGGUGUCGAAAAUGUUGCUCAAAAUUUCACGAAACUUCAUAGAUGGGUAAAAGCCUAUGAGGACAUGUCACAUGGUAUGGCCGCCAUAUUGGAUUUUCCAUGCGCUUCUGACGAUAUUCAAAGAUCUUCUCUGAAACGGCUUAUUGCAUAGAUGUGAAACUUGGUGUAUAAAGUCAUA